rnacentral:tRNA from 1 species
UGCCGAGGUAGUCUAGUCUGGAAGGGCGGUGGCCUCGAAAGCCUCUGGUAGCAAUACCUCGGGAGUUCAAAUCUCCCCCUCGGCGUC